ACACUUCCUCUGCGACAGAAAAAAAGAUGAUCUUCUUAUUGAGCUCUAGCGUCAAGAAAUUAGACUUAGUGGCUCCAGACUAAGCUGUGUAAAGUGAAAUCUGAGAUAAAAAAUGGAGCACUGAAGUUGAAGAGCUACAGAAUGAACUGGGUAUAUCCAGCUAGUUAUAUGGGCAGGCCAAAUGUUCAGUUGGACAAUAUCUACCGAGAGACGUCCAUGUCCUUUGAACUCCCUUAAUGGAAAACAGAAAAGAAAGGUAUGAUUGUCCAAAGGAUACAAAGUCACUUUGGCCUUCCAGGCAUUGGACCAAGAGGAUAAAAAGG